GAAACACCCGUUCCCAUCCCGAACACGGAAGUUAAG
rnacentral:rRNA from 1 species